GUGGGCUUCGCUCGCCGCUCGUGCUCUCC
rnacentral:piRNA from 1 species